UACAUGUCGUCAGUUUAUUUACAUCAAGAAAACCAGAGAAUGCCUAACUUAUUGACAUGUUAACAUUUGUAGUCAAAUAACUGAAGGGUCGGUGCCUAAUAAUCUGUAUAGCAAAUGAUUCAAAUAGUUUUUUACUUUAGAGCUAUAUUAGUUUGUUCAUGCUUUUUGCCUGAUUGCAGGUUGUAGUUCUACUAAACUAUAUUCAACCAUUUAUCUUGAACAAAAUC